UACUGGUUAUCUCCUAAAAUGAAGUAAGGGAGGCUCAACACAACUAAUUUUAUCCUCAGGGUUACUGCAAAGUGGCAAAUAUGGGUCACGUAUCCAGAAAGAUUGGGAACUGCUAAACUUGGAUUUGGUUUGUUUUGCUUUUUUUCAAUCAUUUAAUUGUCCCUUUAGAAGAACCAGAUUUCGCCAGGACUUGUAAACUCAUCAUUAGAUAUGUUUAUCUCAAGUCUUGUUUACGACCGGCUCCCUUCCCCUCAUUUUUUGUCUGCUUCUUACAUUAUGCAGUAAUAUUGUCAGUAUGUUUGUGAGGAGUGAGGACAAAUAGUCCAUGAGAGUAAGGGAGAGAAGAAGGAUAGAAUAGGUCAAGGUUUAUAUUCUAGUCUCUACGAUUUUCCUAAUAAUUUCAAAAUGAACACUCCGAAGAUAAAUCUUGUACGUUGUGCUGUGUCAAUCUGCUAAUCCCCUCAUGUGAACUCCGCCGGUGAAGGUUAUUCUUACCAUAGGCUUUCUAAAGCCAAGGACAUUCGUGCAAAAUCUUCAAUAGUAGGAUUGUAUCACUAGACUAAGACUAUUUGUGUUUGGACAAACCGACCGACUUCAUAUUGGGUCAACAUCAGUUCGAAUAGAAGAGGUAGACACAUCAUCCAUGGAUAACUUUCUUGAUUGUUUAAUUAAGGAAAUAGAACCGAGAAAUAAAGAAACGGAAAUAGACUAAGAAGAAUCUGGAAUUCGAAGCACAGUCAAAUUCUUCCUCCUCAGCCUAUGAGUAUAGUCUUCAAGGAUUGGGUUAUAUCACUGGAUACUUGGCCAAGAAGUUUUUCAUCGCAAUAUCCUGAAAUCGGUUUCAAGACUUGAGAUGAUCCUUUUUGUGAUUCAUAUAUGACACCGUGGAUACCAGCAUUAUCCAAAGGAGGACUGACAAAACCUAAAAUUAUUUCAUCUCUCAGAUAAAAAAAAAAUUGAUGCAAUCUUUGAAGCAUAUCAUAGACAGGAAAUAUCGAGUCAACCUAAUGUUAUUGAGACUUUGAUAUCAAUUCUUCAAAGUUCAGCUCUAGAUUUCCACCAGGAUAUUAUUAGAAAGUACGCUCCUCUAAGAACAUAUAUAAGAAUUAAGGCCCUGAAAAUUAGUAUAAAUGAUCAAAAAAAUAAUGAAAUUUGUAGAAAAUUAAAGAAAUUAUCCCAGAAUA
rnacentral:lncRNA from 1 species